rnacentral:rRNA from 1 species
UUUGCUGGAAUAGUAGUAGAUAUAUACUUAAAAUUUAAAAAAUUUGGCGGUACUUUAAUCUAAUUAGAGGAACCUGUUUCUUUAAAACGAUAAACCACGAAAUAUCUUACUUGUUUAAAAGCUUGUAUACCGUCAUUGUCAGAUAAUUUUUAAAAAAUAAAUUAUUUAAAUUUAGUAAAUUAAACUAUAUUAGAUCAAGGUGCAGUUAAUAAACAAGAAAAAAUGGGUUACAAUAAAUUUAUUUAUAACGGAGUUAUACUUUGAAAAAGUUUAGGAAGGAGGAUUUAAUUGUAUA